rnacentral:lncRNA from 1 species
AAGUUGACUAAGCCUCUUCCACGAGCAAAACAUGAUCAACACGAGAACUGUAUGGGUGUUAGAUACAUUAUAAUGUACAUCACAUAGUGAUUAUUGACUCUAGUGCAAGUGAGAAACUGUUGGCAAUAUGCCAUAGAUGCAAUAAUAAAGUGUUUAUUAUUAUAUUUCCUUGUUCAUGAUAAUUGUUUAUUAUCCAUGCUAGAAUUUUAUUAAUUGGAAACUCAAAUACAUGUGUGGGUACAUAGACAAAACUGUGUCCCUAGUGAGCCUCUAAUGGACUAGCUCGUUGAUCAAAUAUGGUCAAGAUUUCUUAGUCAUAGACAUGAGUUGUCAUUUGAUUAUGGGAUCACAUCAUUAGGAUAAUGAUGUGAUGUACAAGACCCAAACUAUGAACGUAGCAUAUUAUCGUGGCAGUUUAUUGCUAUUGUUUUCUACAAGUCAAGUAUUUGUUCCUAUGACCAUGAGAUCAUGCAACUCACGAACACCGGAGGAGUACCUUGUGUGUAUCAAAUGUCACAACUUAACUGGGUGACUAUAAAGAUGCUCUAUAGGUAUCUCCAAGGGUGCUUGUUGAGUUAGCAUGGAUCAAGACUGGGAUUUCUUACUCCGUGUGAGGAAGUGGUAUGCCAGGGCCCACUCGGUAAUACAACAUCACAAUGAGCUUGCAAGCAAUGUGACUAAAGAUUUAGCCACGAGAUCUUGUAUUAUGGAACGAGUAAAGAGACUUGCCGGUAACGAGAUUGAACUAGGUAUGGACAUACCAACGAUCGAAUCUCGGGCAAGUAACAUAUCGAUGAACAAAGGGAACUACGUACGAGAUUAAAUUAAUACUUGACAUCGAGGUUCGACCGAUAAAUUUCAUCGUAGAAUAUGUGGAAAUCAAUAUGGACAUC